GUCCCAAUAGCUCAGCUGGAUAGAGCAACGCCCUUCUAAGGCGUCGGUCGGGGGUUCGAAUCCCUCUUGGGACGCUA
rnacentral:tRNA from 3 species